rnacentral:rRNA from 1 species
GUGGGGAAUAUUGGGCAAUGGGGGAAACCCUGACCCAGCGACGCCGCGUGAGGGAAGACGGCCUUCGGGUUGUAAACCUCUUUUGUACGGGAAGAAGGAAGUGACGGUACUGUACGAAUAAGUCCCGGCUAACUACGUGCCAGCAGCCGCGGUAAUACGUAGGGGACGAGCGUUGUCCGGAAUUACUGGGCGUAAAGGGCGCGCAGGCUGUGCUGCAAGUCAGCUGUGAAAUGUCUGGGCUUAACCCGGGCAUGCGGUUGAGACUGCAGUGCUGGAGUGCUGUAGAGGCAAGUGGAAUUCCCAGUGUAGCGGUGAAAUGCGUAGAUAUUGGGAAGAACACCGGUGGCGAAGGCGACUUGCUGGCCAGCAACUGACGUUGAGGCGCGAAAGCCAGGGGAGCAAACGGGAUUAGAAACCCUGGUAGUCC